rnacentral:rRNA from 2 species
CAGGAUGAACGCUAGCUACAGGCUUAACACAUUGCAAGUCGAGGGGAAACGACAUCGAAAGCUUGCUUUUGAUGGGCGUCGACCGGCGCACGGGUGAGUAACGCGUAUCCAACCUGCCCACCACUUGGGGAUAACCUUGCGAAAGUAAGACUAAUACCCAAUGAUAUCUCUAGAAGACAUCUGAAAGGGAUUAAAGAUUUAUCGGUGAUGGAUGGGGAUGCGUCUGAUUAGCUUGUUGGCGGGGUAACGGCCCACCAAGGCUACGAUCAGUAGGGGUUCUGAGAGGAAGGUCCCCCACAUUGGAACUGAGACACGGUCCAAACCCCUACGGGAGGCAGCAGUGAGGAAUAUUGGUCAAUGGGCGAGAGCCUGAACCAGCUAAGUAGCGUGCAGGAUGACGGCCCUAUGGGUUGUAAACUGCUUUUAUAAGGGAAUAAAGUGAGCCUCGUGAGGCUUUUUGCAUGUACCUUAUGAAUAAGGACCGGCUAAUUCCGUGCCAGCAGCCGCGGUAAUACGGAAGGUCCGGGCGUUAUCCGGAUUUAUUGGGUUUAAAGGGAGCGUAGGCCGGAGAUUAAGCGCGUUGUGAAAUGUAGAUGCUCAACAUCUGCACUGCAGCGCGAACUGGUUUCCUUGAGUACGCACAAAGUGGGCGGAAUUCGUGGUGUAGCGGUGAAAUGCUUAGAUAUCACGAAGAACUCCGAUUGCGAAGGCAGCUCACUGGAGCGCAACUGACGCUGAAGCUCGAAAGUGCGGGUAUCGAACAGGAUUAGAUACCCUGGUAGUCCGCACGGUAAACGAUGGAUGCCCGCUGUUGGUCUGAAUAGGUCAGCGGCCAAGCGAAAG